CUAAAAACAAUCGACAUAGUUGCUGUUUCGCGGUGACAUUCGUCGGAAAUUGGGUCAUCUUAAACCUUUUGGUUUUAAGCGGCUUAAAAUUUUCUUUACGAUUCUACAACGUUUCUAAGAUUUAUUUCUUACACGUUUAAGGUAAUCGACCUUUAUUAGACGUGGCCGUCACAUCGGAUCGCGUCCAUAAAUAUUUCGUU
rnacentral:misc_RNA from 1 species